rnacentral:rRNA from 1 species
UGGGGAAUUUUGGACAAUGGGGGAAACCCUGAUCCAGCCAUCCCGCGUGUGCGAUGAAGGCCUUCGGGUUGUAAAGCACUUUUGGCAGGAAAGAAACGUCAUGGGUUAAUACCCCGCGAAACUGACGGUACCUGCAGAAUAAGCACCGGCUAACUACGUGCCAGCAGCCGCGGUAAUACGUAGGGUGCAAGCGUUAAUCGGAAUUACUGGGCGUAAAGCGUGCGCAGGCGGUUCGGAAAGAAAGAUGUGAAAUCCCAGAGCUCAACAUUGGAACUGCAUUUUUAACUACCGGGCUAGAGUGUGUCAGAGGGAGGUGGAAUUCCGCGUGUAGCAGUGAAAUGCGUAGAUAUGCGGAGGAACACCGAUGGCGAAGGCAGCCUCCUGGGAUAACACUGACGCUCAUGCACGAAAGCGUGGGGAGCAAACAGG